rnacentral:tRNA from 1 species
GGUGCUUUGGCCGAGCGGUUAGGCACAGGUCUGCAAAACCUGCUAGGGCGGUUCGAUUCCGCCAGGCACCU